UCGUNUGUGAAAUUCCGGGGCUUAACUUCGGGGUGNCAGGCGAUACGGGCAUAACUAGAGUGCUGUAGGGGAGACUGGAAUUCCUGGUGUAGCGGUGGAAUGCGCAGAUAUCAGGAGGAACACCGAUGGCGAAGGCAGGUCUCUGGGCAGUAACUGACGCUGAGGAGCGAAAGCAUGGGGAGCGAACAGGAUUAGAUACCCUGGUAGUCCAUGCUGUAAACGGUGGGCGUUAGGUGUGGGGGCCGGUUUGGUUUCUGUGCCGUAGCUAACGCAUUAAGCGCCCCGCCUGGGGAGUACGGCCGCAAGGCUAAAACUCAAAGGAAUUGACGGGGGCCCGCACAAGCGGCGGAGCAUGUGGAUUAAUUCGAUGCAACGCGAAGAACCUUACCUGGGUUUGACAUGCACCAGACGGUUGUAGAGAUACGUACCUCCCUUUGUGGUUGGUGUGCAGGUGGUGCAUGGUUGUCGUCAGCUCGUGUCGUGAGAUGUUGGGUUAAGUCCCGCAACGAGCGCAACCCUUGUCUUAUGUUGCCAGCACGUUUAGGGUGGGGACUCAUGAGAGACUGCCGGGGUUAACUCGGAGGAAGGUGGGGAUGACGUCAAAUCAUCACGCCCUUUAUGCCCAGGGCUUCACACAUGCUACAAUGGUUAGUACAACGCGCUGCGAGCCUGUGAGGGUGAGCGAAUCGCUGAAAGCUAAUCUCAGUUCGGAUUGGGGUCUGCAACUCGACCCCAUGAAGUCGGAGUCGCUAG
rnacentral:rRNA from 1 species